ensembl:lncRNA
GUACGCUGGGAAGGGAGAUAGGGGGUGUUGUGGGUGUGGCUGUAAUUUAAAAAGAGUGGACAAGAAGUCCUUGUUGAGAAGACGCUAUUUGAGAAGGACUGGAAGGAAGGGAGGGUGAGCCGCAUGAAGCUCGAGAGAGGAGAGGUCCAGAGAAGAGAGGUCCAGUGGAGGGACCAGUAAGUGCAAAGGCCCUGAGGCAGGAGCAAGGUUUGGAGAACACCCAGGAGGUGCAGUAGAGUGGGCCAGCGGGGAGAGGCGAACUUGAGCCAGGCAGACGGUGGUGACCUCGUGAGCUGCGGCGACGACUCUGGCUUCUACUCGGAAUGAGGUGGGGGCCAUACGAAGGUUUUACUUUUUCUUAUUAACAGCUUUAUUGACAUAUAAUUCACAUAGUAUAUGAUUCACUCACGUAAAGUGCACAAUUCAACAGAUUGAAUAUAUCCACGGUGUUGUGCCACCACCUCAACCAUCAAUUUUAGAACAUUUUUCAUCACCCCAAGAAGAAGCCUUGUACCCCUCAGCUGUCACUCCCACUCUCCCCCUGCCAGCCGGGGCAGGCACGCCUCUGCCUUCUGUCCCCACAGAUCGGCCUGUUCUGGACGGUUCACUCGCGUGGAAUCCUACAACACGCGGCCUUUUGUGUCCGGCUGCUCUCACUCAGGGUAAUUUUCAAGCUGAGGGCCGUUUGGGUUGUUUCCACCUUCUGGCUGCUGUGACUAGCGCCGUAAUGGCCACGGGGUGCAAGCGUUCGUGGGGACACAGUCUUCAUUUCUCGGGAGUACACCCAGCAGUGGACCAGCCGUUUCCAGACUCUUCUCCCAGCCCAACCCGCAGCGCACGAGAGCUGCCAUUCCUCCACAUCUGUGCGACAGUCGCGGGCUGUCUUCUGACCCUGGGAGGCUCGGAGCCGAGCAGCAGAGUCACCUGACCAGGUUGUUGCAGAACCUUCUGACGUCCGUGCUGACCACGCUUUACUAUCACUCAUCUCCCUUCUUCUGAGUUCGUGUCUUUCCUCAUCCCAGCCCGGCCUCUUUCUAAAUCGUGAUGGUCUUUUCUCCCGCUUCGGAGGUCACCCUGCCCCCACCAUCGGAAGCAACUCCCCUCAGCGAGGUCACAGCUGGUCACAUGUGUCAAACGUCCUUUCAUCUCUGCCUUUCUCUUGUCAAGUGAUGGCGCUGCGUGACACAAGGGCCUUCCUGCUGCGGCCUUGGGGCUCUCUGGGGUAAGCGCCAUGCACAUCCAGACCUUGAAGUCUUAGUAAUAAAUAAAAGCCAGAUUGGAUGACAUGGUCAAGGCGAGUUGGUCCUUGCUGAGGGAUGCCGGUGUCAAGGAAGGGGGUGCAUCGGGGCCAGGGCGCACCCCAGAUUUUAGUGAAUGGGUUAAUUCCCAAGAAAUACAAAAGCGAUUAAAAAUAAAUAAUCCCUACAGCUGAUGGCCAUUGAAAGCUUUAAGGAAUUCAAGGAAACAUAUUAAUUAAUUAAUCAGAGAGUUACUUGACUGAUUAAUGAAUGAAUGAAUUAGCUAACUCAUGUACUAGGUGCUAGGUAUUGUUCCAGAUGCUGGGGACACAUAUAUUAGCAAAAACAGACCCGUUUCUCUCUCUUGGGAGCUGGGGAGACGAGGAAGUAAACAG